rnacentral:lncRNA from 1 species
GUCGUUGUAGAAGGCUUCCUUCGACUUUGGGCAGCCACAGCGCAGCUACAAAGCCGCAAAACAGCAGCUGCACAGCGGCGCAGCAACGAGGUAGCAGCAGCCUCGACAACCUGCAAGGAAAAACACACAAAGAGAGGAACAAGGGGCGUCGAUCUUCUCGGCUCAGGUACAGCUCUCUUCCUCUCGAUCACGCACACACUAAGCCACGAAGAAUCACAAAGGGGACGUUGCUCUCGCCGGCACCACAAUCGGCCAACAAGCCUUACACCUUCACCGGUAGCACCUCCACACAAAGGAAGAACACUAAGCAAUUUUCGUCUCUCUACAGCCACAGACCAAGGGCUCUUUAAAUAGCCUACCAUAGAAGGAUCUAGAGAAGGAAGGUGAAGAGGUUCAUGGGGGAGAAGAAGCGCAGGGGUCACAGCCCCAAAAGGGCACUAAUUUUCGACUGGAAGGGGGGGAAAUGGGAGGGCUGCCAAGGAUAGGGCAUGGGCUUGUUGGGCCAAAAUUGGGCCAACUAACAACAUCUCCACCUUUGGCCCAAUCACGGUAUUGUGUGCAUCAAAGAGGAAGCUGUACCAUAAUCAUCAUCGCCGAGCCCCCUGUUAAAUCACAAAGAAAUAACAGGGAAACACAAGACCACAAAGGUCAACGGGUAAACUAACCAAGUCAAUUCCUGCAAAACACAAACAAGAGAAAGACAACCACCAAGCACGAAGCACACUAACACAAAGUUAGUCUAGCACAAAGGGCCACAAAGAGCUAGCACAGAUCACAAAGUACACAUGAUCACGAAGAUAACAUGCGACACAAACGGUCAUCACAAAGUAAAACUCACAAAGCCACAUAGACACAAAGCUACUAAUCAAUCACAAAGACACUAAGCCACAAAGACUCACAUAGUCAUUAAGGCACUAACCAACGAAGUCUCACAAAGCCACAAAGCCUAAACAAUCACAAAGAACAACACUAAGGCAUUAAGAAAGAGCUCCACCUUAGAACACAUCACUAUUGGUUUCAUUACCAAUUACAUUAGCAUGCUCUACAUCUUGUUUUUUCUUAGGGUGAGGACAAUCCUUAAUAUAGUGACCAGUUUCACCACAGUUAUAGCACUUCCUAGGCUUAUAUCUAUGAUUAGACUUAUCAUUAAAUCUCUUUUCACCCCUAACAUGCAUGACUUUGUCCGGUUCUUGAACACAAAUAUUAGAAUUUAAAUCUAAUUCCUUAUUCUUUAAAGCACUCACAACAGUGUCAAGCGUCACAUUAUCUCUACCAUACUUAAUAGCAGAUUUAACAUCACUGUAAGAGUCAGGAAUAGCAUUUAAAAGAGCAUACGGAGCAUACUCAUCAAUAUGUUUAUCACCCGUCAGUUUUAUAUCUUGAACUAACUUAGUGAAUUCAUCAACAUUUUCAUCAAUUUUCUUAUUCAAAUCAAGUUUGAAACGGAAAAACCUUUCAAUCAAAAAUAUCUUAGACGGCAACGAGGUUCCAGUGUACAACUCCUCUAACUUAGACCAUAGUUCUUUAGCAGAAGUCAUUCUCCCUACUUUUCUAAGAACACACUCAGACAAGUUGAGAACAAUAGCAGACAAGGCAAGACGAUUCAAUUGAGUUUUCUUUUUCUCAUCAACAUCUUCAUCAUACGAAUCAUCAAUUACUUGAUAAACAUUUUGUUGAAUUAAAAUACAUUCCAUUUUCUGCUGCCAAAAACCGAAGUCCGUUUUACCAUUAAAAGGAGCUAAACCAUAAUUUGCCAAAGAAGACAUCGCAACACGAAGCAAAUAAUCACAAAGACUCACAAAGAUUGACAACCACAGAGUUUACAGCGGAAGUAAAAAAUAAGAGACCAAAAACACUAUUCACGAAAAUACUAUUCACGUGAAUAGAAACAGUUUACCAGAGCGGGAUCCUAAGGUCAGGACCCCGACUUACCAAUGCGACGACGAGGUCAACCGUGGCUCUGAUACCACUGUUGAGUAUAGACCCUCGUCGUCGUUGUAGAAGGCUUCCUUCGACUUUGGGCAGCCACAGCGCAGUUACAAAGCCGCAAAACAGCAGCUGCACAGCGGCGCAGCAACGAGGUAGCAGCAGCCUCGACAACCUGCAAGGAAAAACACACAAAGAGAGGAACAAGGGGCGUCGAUCUUCUCGGCUCAGGUACAGCUCUCUUCCUCUCGAUCACGCACACACUAAGCCACGAAGAAUCACAAAGGGGACGUUGCUCUCGCCGGCACCACAAUCGGCCAACAAGCCUUACACCUUCACCGGUAGCACCUCCACACAAAGGAAGAACACUAAGCAAUUUUCGUCUUUUCUACAGCCACAGACCAAGGGCUCUUUAAAUAGCCUACCAUAGAAGGAUCUAGAGAAGGAAGGUGAAGAGGUUCAUGGGGGAGAAGAAGCGCAGGGGUCACAGCCCCAAAAGGGCACUAAUUUUCAACUGGAAGGGGGGAAAUGGGAGGGCUGCCAAAAUAAGGAGGAUAGGGCAUGGGCUUGUUGGGCCAAAAUUGGGCCAACUAACAACA